rnacentral:rRNA from 1 species
CCCUUAGAUGUUCUGGGCCGCACGCGCGCUACACUGACGAAGUCAGCGAGCAUGUCCUACGCCGACAGGUGCGGGGAAUCUUGUCAAACUUCGUCGUGAUGGGGAUUGAUUAUUGAAAUUCUUGAUCAUCAACGAGGAAUUCCUAGUAAGCGCAAGUCAGCAGCUUGCGUUGAUUACGUCCCUGCCCUUUGUACACACCGCCCGUCGCUCCUACCGAUUGAGUGGUCCGGUGAGGCUUUGGGAUCUGAGCGGAAAGAGCGUUUCGCUGUUUCUGCUCGGAAAACUCAGUCGAACCUUAUCAUUUAGAGGAAGGAGAAGUCGUAACA